UAAAAGAUAAGCUAAAUAAGCUACUGGGUUCAUACCCCGUUUGUAAAGGUUUUAAUGCUUUUCUUUUUA
rnacentral:tRNA from 1 species